rnacentral:SRP_RNA from 1 species
GAUGGACAAGGUGGUUUAUGCCUGUAAUCUCUGUUUUUGAAGAGUCUGAGGCUGUCUGAUGCCUUAAGCUCACGAGUUCUGAGCUGCAGGUGGGUGGCAUGAAUGAAUGUUCACACUAAGUGUUGCACCAAUAUAGUGAACCCUGGGAAGAGGAGUAGGGUGUACCAGGUUGCCUAAGGGGGGGUGAACCAGCCUAAGUCAGAAAGGGAGUAGGUCAAAACUCCUGUGAGUCACUUGUGGAACUGGCAUCAGAGUGAGAUAGGGAGACCCAGUCCCUU